rnacentral:rRNA from 1 species
ACUGCUCAGUAACACGUGGACAACCUACCCUUGGGUCUGGCACAAUCCUGGGAAACUGGGUAUAAUUCCAGAUAGGUCACAGAUGCUGGAAUGCACUGUGGCCGAAAGCUCCAGCGCCCAAGGAUGGGUCUGCAGCCUAUCAGGGUUGUAGUGGGUGUAACGGACCUACUAGCCUACGACGGGUACGGGUUGUGAGAGCAAGAGCCCGGAGAUGGAUUCUGAGACACGAAUCCAGGCCCUACGGGGUGCAGCAGGCGCGAAAACUUUACAAUGCGGGAAACCGUGAUAAGGGAAUCUCGAGUGCCAGCAUAUAAUGUUGGCUGUCCAGAUGCCUAAAAAGCAUCUGUUAGCAAGGGCCGGGCAAGACCGGUGCCAGCCGCCGCGGUAACACCGGCGGCCCGAGUGGUAACCGCUCUUAUUGGGUCUAAAGGGUCUGUAGCCGGCCAAGUAAGUCCCUUGGGAAAUCUGGCAGCUUAACUGUCAGGCUGCUAGGGGAUACUGCUAGGCUUGGGACCGGGAGAGGUUAGAGAUACCUUGGGGGUAGGGGUGAAAUCUUGUGAUCCUCGGGGGACCACCAGUGGCGAAGGCGUCUCACCAGAACGGGUCCGACGGUAAGGGACGAAAGCUAGGGGCACGAACCGGAUUAGAUACCCGGGUAGUCCUAGCCGUAAACGAUGCUCGCUAGGUGACAGUCACGGUGCGACCGUGAUUGGUGCCGUAGGGAAGCCGUGAAGCGAGCCACCUGGGAAGUAUGGCCGCAAGGCUGAAACUUAAAGGAAUUGGCGGGGGAGCAC